UACGUAGGUGGCAAGCGUUGUCCGGAUUUACUGGGCGUAAAGAGCGCGCAGGCGGUCGUACAAGUCGCGUGUGAAAGCCCCCGGCUCAACUGGGGAGGGUCACGCGAUACUGUUCGACUCGAAGGCAGGAGAGGGAAGUGGAAUUCCCGGUGUAGUGGUGAAAUGCGUAGAUGUCGGGAGGAACACCAGUGGCGAAGGCGACUUCCUGGCCUGUUCUUGACGCUGAGGCGCGAAAGCUAGGGUAGCAAACGGG
rnacentral:rRNA from 1 species